CAGCCGCCACGGUAAUACGUAGGUGGCAAGCGUUGUCCGGAAUUAUUGGGCGUAAAGGGCUCGCAGGCGGUUUCUUAAGUCUGAUGUGAAAGCCCCCGGCUCAACCGGGGAGGGUCAUUGGAAACUGGGAAACUUGAGUGCAGGAGAGAAAAGUGGAAUUCCUAGUGUAGCGGUGAAAUGCGUAGAGAUUAGGAGGAACACCAGUGGCGAAGGCGGCUUUUUGGCCUGUAACUGACACUGAGGCGCGAAAGCGUGGGGAGCAAACAGGAUUAGAUACCCGUGUAGUCCCUGUCUCUUAUAC
rnacentral:rRNA from 1 species